rnacentral:rRNA from 1 species
UUCAGAUUGCAGGCUGCAACCCGCCUGCAUGAAGUCGGAAUUGCUAGUAAUCGCGGAUCAGCAUGCCGCGGUGAAUACGUUCCCGGGCCUUGUACACACCGCCCGUCACACCAUGGGAGCCGGUAAUACCCGAAGUCAGUAGUCCAACCACGUGAGGACGCUGCCGAAGGUAGGAUUGGCGACUGGGGUGAAGUCGUAACAAGGUAGC